AGGACAUAGCUUAGUGGUAGAGCUCUUGCCUCACAUGCAUGCAACCCUGGGUUCAAUCCCAGUACUA
rnacentral:tRNA from 1 species